rnacentral:rRNA from 1 species
GCUCAACCGGGGAGGGUCAUUGGAAACUGGGAAACUUGAGUGCAGAAGAGGAGAGUGGAAUUCCACGUGUAGCGGUGAAAUGCGUAGAGAUGUGGAGGAACACCAGUGGCGAAGGCGACUCUCUGGUCUGUAACUGACGCUGAGGAGCGAAAGCGUGGGGAGCGAACAGGAUUAGAUACCCUGGUAGUCCACGCCGUAAACGAUGAGUGCUAAGUGUUAGGGGGUUUCCGCCCCUUAGUGCUGCAGCUAACGCAUUAAGCACUCCGCCUGGGGAGUACGGUCGCAAGACUGAAACUCAAAGGAAUUGACGGGGGCCCGCACAAGCGGUGGAGCAUGUGGUUUAAUUCGAAGCAACGCGAAGAACCUUACCAGGUCUUGACAUCCUCUGACAACCCUAGAGAUAGGGCUUUCCCUUCGGGGACAGAGUGACAGGUGGUGCAUGGUUGUCGUCAGCUCGUGUCGUGAGAUGUUGGGUUAAGUCCCGCAACGAGCGCAACCCUUGAUCUUAGUUGCCAGCAUUUAGUUGGGCACUCUAAGGUGACUGCCGGUGACAAACCGGAGGAAGGUGGGGAUGACGUCAAAUCAUCAUGCCCCUUAUGACCUGAGCUACACACGUGCUACAAUGGACAGAACAAAG